AUAAUAAAAUAUUGACAAAGUCAGGAUUCAAAUGAAAUUAUAAUAAAAUACUGACAAAGUCAGAAUUUUGUCAUUGGCCAAAAUGCGACUGCAGUCUGCAAAAGAACGUGGAAUUUUCUGAUUGGCUGACCCACUCCAGCCAUUUGGGAUAUCUUCAGAAAUUCACUCUUAAAGAGAAAGGUAAAUAGUAUAAAAAGUGUCGAGUUUUAAAAUGCCUUUAAAAAAAAUCGAACAAAACGUUGAUAAAGAAUAUCAUACAUGGGUACUUGAAAAUAUGAGUGAAACAUUCGCAAAAGUAAAUCCGGCCAAGAACCAGUUUCUAAAUUAUCCUGUUAAGGAGACUCACUACUUUUCUACAAAAGCUCAAGAUCAUGCCGUUGACUGGUACAUCACAUUGAAUUUUGCUAAUAAUGAAUUGAAGUCUGGAUUCAAGAUAUUUUUCGACGCUGUUAAAAAAUUAGAACCUAGGAAUCAUGUCACCUGUAAUUUUUACCUGGUCGAUGCCGACAAAAAUAAGUUUUUUCUUGGACGAAAGAACCGGAAAUUUGAUGAUUCUCAGGGUUUUUUUAAUCAUCCUGAAGUAUUUAGACACUGUUUACCUUACCCCGAGUUACCGAACACAAUAGAUAAACUACUUCCAAAUAAUACCAUGACACUGUACAUCGAACUCAUAACUUACUUGGAUGAUGAUCCUAUAUUUCCUGACGAGCGUAUGGUUUACGCCUAUUUUCCAGAUCCCAAUUCAUCAGGUGAUUUCUCGGAGUUAUAUAAAGUUCAAGAUGACCGUGACGUUAUGAUUUAUGUACAGGGUGUUGCAUUUCCAGUCCAUAAAAGAGUAUUGGAAGCACGGUGUCCUAAAUUAUAUGAAAUGGUUGAUCAUCAUCAACAAAUGUCUGAUGGCAAUGAUAACCAAGUAGCUCUUACGGAUAUAGAGCCAGAGAUAUUUAAAAGAGUUUUAGAAUUUAUGUACACUCUGAAUGUUGAGGACUUGGAUGAUCAUGCAGUAGGUUUGCUAGAAGCUGCUUCGAAAUAUAAAUUAACAAGACUGAUAAAUCUGUGUGAACAAUCCCUCAUCAGCUACUAUUAUACCGACGAAAAUGCUGAAGAAAUUAAAUCAUUGGCUUACAAGUGUGGCGCCAGCAUAUUAUUCAAUAACGUCAAGAUGUUACAACUACUACACGCUGUAAAUAAAGCCAACGCUAUUCAGAAAAUGGCAUACUGAAGGAAUUAAGUUUAUUGCAGAGUGGAUUGUCUUUGCAUCACUAGAUAGCGAUCCAUUUAUUUAUCGCAUUAUCGCUGUUUUUGUAGAGCCCGUUCCUCCCGAAGUCCUUUGCGGUGAUCAUCAUAAGUCCUUGGAGAUUCAUCUAAAAUCAAUCGGACAAGAAAAAUUAGUUUUAUUAAUAGAUAAUCUUGUGCCUGAUCGAAGCUUUUUUUUUUUUUUUCGAAAUUAACAAAAUGGCGGCCUCAGGAAAUUUUUUUCAAAUUUUCGAGAAAAAAACCGACAGUUUAUUGUUAAAAAAAAAUCGAAAUUUUUGAAAAAAAAAAAAAUCCUUCGAUCAGGCACGAGUUUUUAAUGUAUUUCAAAAGUACAAUAAAUUUUAUUGAAAUCUACCGAGCAGUUUUUAAGUUACAGUGAUCACCAGUUCAGAAAACAUAGUUUUGAGAAAAACGCAUUUAAAGUUUUGCUAUGGAUUUAUGUCGAAUUAUAAGAAUUAUUUAAUAACUUACACUGAGUCAUCUAUUCCUGGACCAUAUAAUAGCUCUUCAGCCGACAUAGCAGCUUCCAAAAUAUCGAUUUGCUGGUGCCUACGUUGCAAUCGACCUUCUCGGGUGUUAUCAUUAGCGCGCUUAUCUGCUACUUUGAUACGUGCAGCAUCCAUUCUUUCUGCAUACCGAUGAGAAUUAGGCCCACAAUUAAGUCCUAGUGUAUUCAUCAAGACUAAUAAUGAAUUUAUACCCUCAUUAAAUAUACACAUAGCAACGUAUGCAGCUAUUUGUACGAUAGUAAAACUAGUAUUUACCGUUUUUGGACAUAUUUUCCAUACUAGUUGGUUAAAGCUUUCAUUAUUAUUCUGAUUGAAUCCACCUACACAUCUUGAAAGUAAAUUUUCAUUACUAAGAUCUUCGUAUAUAGGCUUGAUAGCUUUUAAAACAUCAGAAGGUAAAGGAGAAUAAUCGUGAGAAAAGGUAUCAAGCUCUCCUCUUGCUUCAGCGCGCUGGUAAGAGCACCAAGAUUCUUCGCCUUUUGGACACAUAUCAUGAUUCGGUUUUUCAUCACUCGAGCCGUAGUGAUAAAAGGUUGCCAUUAUAGCAGAUUUCAUAUUUUCAAUAGAAUCACAAUGCCGGCGUAUUGCUAAACCAUAGUACACAGUUAGUUUGUCUAUUAAUUUUCCUGUGAGCUUACCUCGACCACCAAGACCUUUUUGUUUACUCUUCAGCGUACGUAAUCGACUCCCCAUCCGCUUUUGGACAUGCC